rnacentral:ncRNA from 1 species
AGUUUUACCAAGUUGUCAGGUGCCCCGCCGCCGUUUCGCGGUGUGUCGGGGUGAAAAGGGAAGCCGGUGAGAAUCCGGCGCAGGGCCGCUGCUGUGUUCGGCUAGAGGCCCGGGGCAAUUCGCCACUGCGGGAGACCGCGGGAAGGCACCCGGGCGUCGUUGGAGCCGUAAGCCAGAAGACCUGCCUGCCAACGUGUGUUCGG